rnacentral:rRNA from 1 species
UACGAAGGGGGCUAGCGUUGUUCGGAAUUACUGGGCGUAAAGCGCGUGUAGGCGGUUCGGUAAGUCCGCUGUGAAAGUCGGGGGCUCAACCCUCGGAUGGCGGUGGAUACUGUCGGACUAGAGUACGGAAGAGGCGAGUGGAAUUCCUGGUGUAGCGGUGAAAUGCGCAGAUAUCAGGAGGAACACCGAUUGCGAAGGCAGCUCGCUGGGACGUUACUGACGCUGAGACGCGAAAGCGUGGGGAGCAAACAGG